AUUGAACGCUGGCGGCAUGCUUUACACAUGCAAGUCGAACGGUAACAGGCCUUCUGGUGCUGACGAGUGGCGAACGGGAGAGUAAUGCAUCGGAACGUGCCCAGAGUGGGGGGAUAACGCAUCGAAAGCUGUGCUAAUACCGCAUGUGAUCUGAGGGUGAAAGCGGGGGACCAGGCAGCAAUGUUUGGCCUCGCGCCUUUGUAGCGGCCGAUGUCAGAUUAGGUAGUUGGUGGGGUAAAGGCGUACCAAGCCGACGAUCUGUAGCUGGUCUGAGAGGACGACCAGCCACACUGGGACUGAGACACGGCCCAGACUCCUACGGGAGGCAGCAGUGGGGAAUUUUGGACAAUGGGCGCAAGCCUGAUCCAGCAAUGCCGCGUGCGGGAAGAAGGCCUUCGGGUUGUAAACCGAUUUUGUACGGAACGAAAAGGCUCUGGCUAAUACCUGGGGCUGAUGACGGUACCGUAAGAAUAAGCACCGGCUAACUACGUG
rnacentral:rRNA from 1 species